GAUGAACGCUGGCGGCGUGCCUAAUACAUGCAAGUCGAGCGAACAGACGAGGAGCUUGCUCCUCUGACGUUAGCGGCGGACGGGUGAGUAACACGUGGAUAACCUACCUAUAAGACUGGGAUAACUUCGGGAAACCGGAGCUAAUACCGGAUAAUAUAUUGAACCGCAUGGUUCAAUAGUGAAAGACGGUUUUGCUGUCACUUAUAGAUGGAUCCGCGCCGCAUUAGCUAGUUGGUAAGGUAACGGCUUACCAAGGCAACGAUGCGUAGCCGACCUGAGAGGGUGAUCGGCCACACUGGAACUGAGACACGGUCCAGACUCCUACGGGAGGCAGCAGUAGGGAAUCUUCCGCAAUGGGCGGAAGCUUGACGGAGCAACGCCGCGUGAGUGAUGAAGGUCUUCGGAUCGUAAAACUCUGUUAUUAGGGAAGAACAAAUGUGUAAGUAACUAUGCACGUCUUGACGGUACCUAAUCAGAAGGCCACGGCUAACUACGUG
rnacentral:rRNA from 1 species